rnacentral:rRNA from 1 species
UACGAAGGGGGCUAGCGUUGCUCGGAACUACUGGGCGUAAAGGGCGCGUAGGCGGCACUGUUAGUCAGGCGUGAAAGUCCUGGGCUCAACCUGGGAACUGCGCUUGAUACGGCAGAGCUAGAGGAUGGAAGAGGCUCGCGGAAUUCCCAGUGUAGAGGUGAAAUUCGUAGAUAUUGGGAAGAACACCGGUGGCGAAGGCGGCGAGCUGGUCCAUUACUGACGCUGAGGCGCGACAGCGUGGGGAGCAAACAGG